AAAAAUAGUAUGCGUUUACUGCCCUUAACAGUUUGCCCCAUCACCUUAGGUUGAGAUACAGUUAGAACCACACCUAUCGCAAGACAGGGUUAUGAACUAGAUGUACACUGGACUACAAAAAAGGAUUGCAGCAUGUGCACAAAAAAUCUGCCCAGAGACCCCAGUUGUGAAAAUACCAUACCACCUUACCAUGAGACACUGACAAGAAGAAACACAACUGAUAGAGUAAAUGAGCUGUCUUCUGGUUGGAGUUUACUGACUACAGUACUCAGGAGACCUACAGUAUUUGUAAUGCAAUUAUAGGGGGAGAAAAGAAGACUUGUCCAUGAAUCACAUGUUGGAAUUCAACAUCAAAACCAGAUUCUUCCAACUGUCCAGAAGAUGCCACAAUGGGUAACACUGCAAAACACAGAAAAUUCUGGAUGAUCUUUAUAUUUUUAAGAUGAUAUAAUAACUGAAAUUUUCCUUUCAUACAGGCUAUACAAGCUGACUUUAAAAAUAAAUCUCUGCAGCUGACAAACA
rnacentral:lncRNA from 1 species